rnacentral:tRNA from 1 species
AAGGGAGACCUAAUUCCGGUAGGAGACGAAAAAAAAGUAGUCCCUACCAAGAAUCAAUCCCAAAAGGUCGGAGCGAGGCAAAAUUGGCUUUCAAACUAGGUUCUGGGUUCACACAAGACCUGAAUCAGGAACAAGGGCUAUUAGCUCAGGUGGUUAGAGCGCACCCCUGAUAAGGGUGAGGUCCCUGGUUCGAGUCCAGGAUGGCCCACCUGCACAGGUGGAARAAAGAAAAAAGCUCCGAAUCAGCACCUUAUCUUACUUAUAUAGUAAGAGAGAAUGCUGGCUCUGASUACAGAGUCCAGAGGAACCUUGAAAACUGCAUAGAGCUAGGUGAAAAAGCCAAAAAAGAAGACCGCAA